AAGGAGUCAUAUCAUGCUUUUCAUUCUAAAAAAUAUUAGACUUUAAUGUCUCAGUAAGGUCUCUGUAAAUUUUCAACCCAUAAAACCCUUUAGAUCGUCCACACUGCCCCUGUCAAUGUGUGGUUUUCACUCUCCAUCAGCAAACGCUGUGUUUUCUGGGCGUGUCGCAAGCGAAGCUGCUCACCACACCUCUGUGCGGAAGUGCAUACCUUUUUUUUGUUGUUGUUUUUUUUUUUAAAUUGGCUCCAUGGAUACGAGCCACCGCACGGUUAGGAUACAAUAGGUGGCAGUAGUGCGACAUUGAGAACGCAAUCCACCGCCAUCCUCCACAGAAGAAGACGACCCACUACAGAACUGCACGACAUUAGUCAGCUGGUUCGUAGCUUAGUAGAACCAUACGUCUACGAUCCCGAAUCUGACCCUGAAGCUGAAGAGGAGGCUGUUGAAGUCACCACAUUUCGGCUGAUGCAAGAUGUGUCUCAUUGUUGUUACAGGUAUCUAGUCUACAGAGGCUAGUGAGCUGGUGCUGAGGAUUCCUGGGGUGAAGAAUCUGAGUUGCCAUCUCUUCAUGCUUGGGUUGUAGAAGAAGGCAGUUUCCUGAUGGAUAAAACACUAAAACACUCAUAGUAUGAUUGAUGUAGACCACCUGUAGAAUAACUCCUUUACCAUUUGAGUAAAAAUGUGUUUUUUGUGAGUGCAACACUCAUUAAGAAUUUUUUUUAACUUUAUUUAUAUAUAAUUUAUAUGCGUUUUAUUUAUGGCCGCUUCAACUUUAUAGCUUACCAUAUUAGAAAGAGAAAAACAUGUAAUUUCAAUACUAUGAUUUUCCAAAUAAAAGUGUUUUCCCUUCAGAAACAGAGUUCAGUGAAAUACAUAAUAGUUAAAGCCAACUUUAUUGUAAACCAAAAAAAUACACCACUACUCCAAAGCUAGAACAAACUGUUACCUUCACACUCCAAUGUGCAAUGUAUAGGUUACUGAGUUAAUUAAGAAGUCUGGGGGUUUGAGGACGAAGGAGAAGCUUUUGCAGGGCCUUGCAGACGAAAUGCAUGAAAGUAGGGUAAACAGGGAGAUGUGGUGAUCCUUGUUCUCAUCACUAUUUGGAAGACUGAGCGGAAGCAGUCCUCUACCAGAUGGAAGCUGUGGCUGUCCUCACCAUCACCUCAUCAAAACAAAAGGUACUGCAAUCAGAAUUGUAGAUUAGUGAAAUGUUAAUUAUUAUGUAGGUCAAAACCUUCUCUAAUGUAAGAACACACAAUUCCAGACAAAAAAUUAAACCAAACAAGAGGACAGGCCUGUCUGUGCUAAAACAACAGAUAAACAGUUGUUACAAUUCAAAUAUAAAAUCUAAACAGUAUAUACCAAUUAAAAUCUUCUAUUACCUAUCUUACUGUUGGUACAUACAAACUUACAUACCUUUACUCCUGAGCUGGGCAGCAGAUGUCUGUGUACCAACAGUCUGCAGUGAUUUCUCUGUUUGACAGCCUCCUUGCAUGUGGGCAACUGAGAUUUGCCCUCCUACAGUAUAGAAAAGACUGUUACAUUUACUGUAAAUUGUAUUGGUCCUACAAAUAUAAUGGCUAUGGUACAAGCUAUCGGUAACUGACCAGAUAAGCAGCAAGUAUUGUAGAGAUGUGACUAAUUAGCAACUAAGCUUGAAACACAACACAGUAAUCAUUCCAACUAAUCAUGUUGUUGAUAGAACAAUGACAUAACCCCAAAUCACAAGUUGAUUUAGGCUGGACAGGACGGGUUAAUAACAAACACAACCGCGUUCUUCUGCAGGUUCUUUUUGUAGCGAUCGACCAGCUGUAGCUCUAAAGUGCAAAGGCCUAAAGGCAUGCUAACGGCUAAUGCAACACACAAACAGGAGCGGCAGCACGUCAACAGGACAAAAGCUCGAUCCACCGCUUCCUGCCUGUCGCCGAUCGAAGGCCCAUCGCUAUUAGCUGUUCCCCACACAGGUGUGUGAUUGCACCAACUCAGAGUAGCACAUUUGAAAGGGACAAAGGCUCAGUUGACUCACUGUGGCCGUUAGCGACGCUAGCGAUUAGCUUGUCUCACAUGUGGGUUACUGCAUUUUAAACAGACCCAACUAACAUAUUUAGAUAUCACAAGUAUCAAGCACAAACUUACUACAGCGAGCUAGAUCCACCGCUUCCUGUCUGUCGCCGCUGGAAGGGCGAUAACGAUCAGCUGUUCCCCGCAGGUGUAUGCGAUUACAGAAAAGGACAGACGCUAGACCCACCGCUCCCUGCCCGUAGCCGCUCGAUGCCGUUACGAUAAUCAUUAGCUUUUCUCCACACAGGUGUGUGGCUGCAGGAGCCCACAUGAGCACAUUUGAAGGGGACAAAGGCUCGGUCGACUGGCUGUAGCCGUUAGCAUAGCUAGCUAGUAACUUGACUCACACAUAGGUUACUAUAUUUUAAACGGACAAACUAACAUUUUAAAACAUUAUAAAUAACAAGCAUGUACUUACUUCAGUGAGUGGAUGACGGACUUUAGGAAUAGAUCCUUUUUUUCCAACAGGAGCCGUUAAACAAAUCCAGCAUUGUACGCACCCUCGUUUGAAAUGCACAUACGUAUAAAUGCUGAGGCAGUGUUUCUGGCACCGGUCCGUUAAAAAUAAAAGUGACCCACAAAUCCUCACUUGUUGAUCCCUUGUUAAAGUGAAUAGACUUUGGUGUUGGUUAGAACACCCAAGAACCGAACUAUUUCUAUGGGAGGACUUGGGCGCUGCCGUGCUGGUCUGUUCACGGUGAGUGAGAGGGGGGAAAUGGCGGAAGUCCAGUUUUGGUUCGGGAUCAUUGUGGGGGUGGUGGUUCAGGAUUUGCAAGGAGAACUUUCAACCAGUAUGACGAAACCCGGGGAACGGCCUCAGAGUAGGUCGUGGCUGUUUUCAUUGGAUGAGAAAAUUUACGUUUUCAAAAUGUGAAAAAAGCAGGAAAUGCAUUUCUACCGUGCUCAGUGUGUGUAUAUGUGACCCAUAGAGUCAUAGGGACGCUCCAAAAUGUCUAAAAAGUGGAUUUUGCAUGAUAUGGGCCCUUUAACCUGUCCACCAACACAGCAACAUCACACAUAUUUUGGAUUAGCUAAAUAAACCAUUAAAUAAACCAUAAAUCAAGAAAAGUAUAUAUAUUCCAUAUAUACUCCUCUUGUUAAAGCAAAGCUGUCCAUCACAAUAUGGCAAUCAGCAUAAGAUAUGCUGCUUGCUAAACUGCUGGACAGAACAAAAAAAAAAAAACUACU